GUCCCUGUAGUUCAACGGAUAGAACAAAAGACUCCUAAGCUUUAAAUGGAGGUUCAAUUCCUCCCAGGGACA
rnacentral:tRNA from 1 species